GGGAACCUCACCCGGCCCGGACACCGCUAGGAUUGACAGACUGAGAGCUCUUUCUCGAUUCGGUGGGUGGUGGUGCAUGGCCGUUCUUAGUUGGUGGAGCGAUCUGUCUGGUUAAUUCCGAUAACGAACGAGACCCCAACCUGCUAACUAGCCCUCGGGUCCUGCUUCUGUUGGGCCCGACGGAAUGAUUCGCUUCUUAGAGGGACUCGCGGCGCCUAGCCGCACGAAGGGGGGCGAUAA
rnacentral:rRNA from 1 species